rnacentral:pre_miRNA from 1 species
UACAGUAGAUGAGAAGCAGUCCUGCAGUUGAGAGAGGGCUCCUUCAGGCCAGGUUGUUAUUGUCUUUGUCUG